ACUUACUUGGRUAACCGUGGKAAUUCUAGAGCUAAYACAGGCUAAAAACCUCGACUUCGGAAGGGGUGUAUUUAUUAGAUAAAAAACCAAUGCCCUCCGGGGCUCCCUGGUGAUUCAUAAUAACUAAACGAAUCGCAUGGCCUUGCGCCGGCGAUGGUUCAUUCAAAUUUCUGCCCUAUCAACUUUCGAUGGUAGGAUAGUGGCCUACCAUGGKGGCAACGGGUAACGGGGAAUUAGGGUUCUAUUCCGGAGAGGGAGCCUGAGAAACGGCUACCACAUCCAAGGAAGGCAGCAGGCGCGCAAAUUACCCAAUCCCGACACGGGGAGGUAGUGACAAUAAAUACUGAUGUGGAGCUCUUUAGGGUUUCACAAUUGGAAUGAGAAAAAUCUAAACCACUUAAACGAGGAACAAUUGGAGGGCAAGUCUGGUGCCAGCAGCCGCGGUAAUUCCAGCUCCAAUAGCGUAUAUUAAAGUUGUUGCAGUUAAAAAGCUCGUAGUUGAACCUUGGGCCUGGCCGGCCGGUCCGCCUCACCGCGUGCACUGGUUCGGCUGGGCCUUUCCUCCUGGGGAACCGCAUGCCCUUCACUGGGUGUGCCGGGGAAUCAGGACUUUUACUUUGAAAAAAUUAGAGUGUUCAAAGCAGGCAUUUGCUCGAAUACAUUAGCAUGGAAUAAUAGAAUAGGACGUUGUGGUUCUAUUUUGUUGGUUUCUAGGACCGCCGUAAUGAUUAAUAGGGACGA
rnacentral:rRNA from 1 species